AACGAACGCUGGCGGCAUGCCUAACACAUGCAAGUCGAACGAAACCUCCGGGACUAGUGUCGCACGGGGUCGUAACCCGUGGGAACCUUCCCUUGGGGUCGGAAUAACUCCCCGACUGGGGUGCUAUCACCGGAUAAUGGCUUCUGACGAAAGAUUUAUUGCCCUGGUUUGGGCCGGCGUUGAAUUAGCUAUUUGUUAGGGUUAAAGCUUACUAAGGCGACGAUUCAUAGCUGGUUAGGGAGGAUGCUCACCCACACUGCGACUGAGACCCGGCCGGGACUCCUACGGGAGGCAGCAGUGGGGAAUAUUGCACAAUGGGCGGAAGCCUGAUGGAGCAAUGCCGCGUGAGUGAUGAAAGCCUUAAGGUUGUAAAGCUCAUUUACCCGGGAUGAUAAUGACGGUACCGGGAGAAUAAGCCCCGGCUAACUACGUG
rnacentral:rRNA from 1 species